rnacentral:tRNA from 1 species
GGAGGGAUGGCCGAGCGGCUUAUGGCGGUGGUCUUGAAAACCAUUGAACGCAAGUUCCGGCGGUUCGAAUCCGUCUCCCUCCGCCA